CGCCACGCCCCAACCACCUUCCCUUUAAGCCGUCCCUUUAACAGCUGGGACCCUCAUGUGUAUUUCCGGGUUUCCACUGUGCUGCUGCUCACUGUUGGUUGUGGCGUUGGUUGUUAAUAAAACAAUCUCAAAUCUCCAACUCGACUCAUCGCUGAACGAAUUCAUCUCUAAAACUCGAGGAUCUGCGGUUGGGCUUUGUUGAUGCCUGGUUUACCUUCUGAUGAGAACAAGUAACAUCCACUUCCUCAAACAAUCCGUUACUCGACGGUCAGGUUUUUUUUUUCUCCCCCUUCAUCAACUCGCUUGCUGACGGAGGAUGGCGAGCUACCCACACACCACCUGGUGGUAGGAAAAAGAAAGACACUCUCCACACAGGAAAACCAAACAACACUUUCCAUACAGGAAACAAAAUAAACUCUAAGGGAGUAUCUAAAGGAAAAGAACAAUUCUCCCGUUGCUCUUGGACUUUUGAACUACAUUUGGUUUUGAAGUAUUAUUGAUUAUUUCAUUUUUGGUUUGUUCUUUUUUCCCUGUCCUUGUUUCUUUUGAACAAUUUCUCUUUGUUUAGUUUUUGCUGUUAGUAUUAUUAUUAUUAUUAUUAUUAUUGUCAUUAUUAUUAUCAUUACUAUUUCCACUGCAAUAAAUGGCAAUAUAAACAAAAGCUCUUUGCAUCAGUUGCAUCAAUUAUCCACCCAAUCAUGACUCCAUGCCGUACCUAUUUCUGAUUUUAUAGAGUGGUUAACACUAAGCCCUGCAGUCAGACCUGCGCCUUUAAGAAGAGCGUUACAUGUGGCGAGCUAGCCAGGAGUCUUGUAGUGGGUGAAUAAUUGCAUAAUUCCACAGUACCUUUAUUUUGGAUGUGUUAUCAUUAUCAAUAACAAAAACAAAAAUGGAUGUUGUUACUCAGUUGGGGUUAAACAUGCAACGAUCUGUGUUAGUUACUGGCACUCAGAGCAGUGAGGAUGAAAAA